rnacentral:rRNA from 1 species
UGGGGAAUAUUGGACAAUGGGGGCAACCCUGAUCCAGCAAUGCCGCGUGUGUGAAGAAGGUCUUCGGAUUGUAAAGCACUUUCGACGGGGACGAUGAUGACGGUACCCGUAGAAGAAGCCCCGGCUAACUUCGUGCCAGCAGCCGCGGUAAUACGAAGGGGGCUAGCGUUGCUCGGAAUGACUGGGCGUAAAGGGCGUGUAGGCGGUUUACACAGUCAGAUGUGAAAUCCCCGGGCUUAACCUGGGAGCUGCAUUUGAUACGUGUAGACUAGAGUGUGAGAGAGGGUUGUGGAAUUCCCAGUGUAGAGGUGAAAUUCGUAGAUAUUGGGAAGAACACCGGUGGCGAAGGCGGCAACCCGGCUCAUGACUGACGCUGAGGCGCGAAAGCGUGGGAGCAAACAGGAUUAGAUACCCUGGUAGUCCACGCUGUAAACGAUGUGUGCUAGAUGUUGGGUAACUUUGUUAUUGCAGU